CCCAGGUCAGUCACCACGUGCGAUCCGCACACUUUCUGCUUCGGCGUCGCCAACGCCUUCCAGGGACGACUCGAACUUCUGCUCAGCCACCCAAGACCGGAGCAGCGAAAGCUCUCCGGCUCUACAGAAACCUCGGCAUCCAAAUAGGUUCGUGUUCGGCACUGCCCAAGCCCGCAAGUCGCCGCGUACGGAGCGAGGAAGAUCCGUAAGAGACGCUCUCCACAUGGCUGCCCGCCGAGCAUCAUCUGCAGUCUUACGUAAGCGACGCUCCAGCGCCUCCAAGCGGCCCAAAGCGCCGAGUAGGACUCCGUCGAGAACAUCGCUAAGGGACCUGCCCGGUGCCAGACCAGGAACAGAAGAGUCUGCGGUACCGUCAGCACUUCCAUUGCAAUCACGAACAGAAUCGCCGUCAUUAUCCGUUUCACGACCGGCCAAAAUCAUUCUGAAAAAGUCAAGACCAACUGUGAUGGACGAUGCAAACGCUAAAGGGAACCAAGAGAAAUCGGUGCAGGUCAGCAGCAGUGAUUGGCCCCAGCAAG